rnacentral:rRNA from 1 species
GAUGAACGCUGGCGGCGUGCUUAACACAUGCAAGUCGAGCGAGAAGUUUUGAAAAGAUUCUUCGGAUGAAAUUUAAAAUGGAAAGCGGCGGACGGGUGAGUAACGCGUAGGCAACCUGCCCCAUACAAAGGGAUAGCAUUUGGAAACGAAUAUUAAUACCUUAUGAAACUUAACUAGUGCAUGCUAGGUAGGUCAAAGAUUUAUCGGUAUGGGAUGGGCCUGCGUCUGAUUAGCUAGUUGGUGAGGUAACGGCUCACCAAGGCGACGAUCAGUAGCCGACCUGAGAGGGUGAACGGCCACAUUGGAACUGAGACACGGUCCAAACUCCUACGGGAGGCAGCAGUGGGGAAUACUGCACAAUGGGGGAAACCCUGAUGCAGCAACGCCGCGUGAACGAUGAAGGCCUUUGGGUCGUAAAGUUCUGUUCUAGGUGAUGAAAACUGACAGUAACCUAGGAGAAAGCCCCGGCUAACUCCGUG